ensembl:rRNA 5S_rRNA 5S ribosomal RNA
GUCAGCAGCCAUAUCACCCUGCAACUCACAACUGGCAACCCACUGAAGCUAAGCAGGUAUGAGCCUGGUCAGUACCUGGAUGUGAGACCUCCUGGGAAAAACUAAGGUUGCUGCUGGAA